rnacentral:lncRNA from 10 species
UGUACUUCAGCCUCUCUGGACAGAGCAAGACCUUGUCUCUAAAAUAUAAAUGAAUCAAUUUAUUCUAUUAAUCUGCCUUUCAUCAGUUGAUUUUUCAGCAAACCUUCAGAAGGCAAAGGGGAAGUUUUCCUUUGGCCCCCACAGACCCAUGCUGGGGGACGUCCUGAGGAUGGGUGAGGAGAGAAAUCUUCCAGGACAAGAAAGUGAAGGCAACCCAGUUAGGAGGCAUCUGGGACUUUCCUGGCCAACUCUGAAGACAUCAAGUUGAACCAUGACCCGGAUUCGGUCUUGGAAGCAGAUGAGAGGGUAAAGAGUUGAAGCCAGGUCUACACUCUGAUUCCUCCAAGUCACCGAGUGGUUUCAUGUGAAAGGGGUCUGGGCAGGAGUGAGCCGAGGUUAGCGGUGGUAUUUCAGUGAUUUGGCAAAUGUGCACAGAUGGCUCAUAAACCGCCCCCCCACAUGCCACCGACAGGAAACUACCACUUGACAACACGCCUGCUUCUGCCGCAUCACAGACUUAGCAGAGUCUGUUCAGAAUCUCCUUGCAUUUCCAAAUGAAGCUUGGAUGUUAGCAGAUGUUAAACCCAAGAACAGGUACACCUGGGCUCUAAAUUCAUCUUCUGACUGAAGUUGAAGAUAAAACCUGAUACCAGUUUGGAGUAGAAAGAGACACAGUAUUGUAAUCAUAAAUGACAUUUGACCUUAAAACAGUAACACAGCAAAUUUCUAAUUAAAGUGGAGCAUGUCCUGUCUUGACUGAGGCACCAAGACGAUUUGUUGCAGAUUGUUGCUGGCAGUGUGCAGUCCCCAAGACCAAAUCACCAAGAGGCACAGUGGUAAGAGUGGUCAGCAAGGAGCGGAGCGCCUUCCUCCCACCAGCAGGUGACUCACCACAUCGUGUCCUCCUUGGCGUAAGAGGCGCCCUAAAGGUUUCUCCGUUCCAGUUAUCCUAACUGGAAUACUGUUCCUGAAAAAAGCGUAUAUUUAAG